rnacentral:rRNA from 1 species
AACGAACGCUGGCGGCAUGCCUAACACAUGCAAGUCGAACGAUUGCCUUCGGGUGAUAGUGGCGCACGGGUGCGUAACGCGUGGGAAUCUGCCCUUAGGUUCGGAAUAACAGCUGGAAACGGCUGCUAAUACCGGAUGAUAUCGCGAGAUCAAAGAUUUAUCGCCUGAGGAUGAGCCCGCGUUGGAUUAGGUAGUUGGUGGGGUAAAGGCCUACCAAGCCGACGAUCCAUAGCUGGUCUGAGAGGAUGAUCAGCCACACUGGGACUGAGACACGGCCCAGACUCCUACGGAAGGCAGCAGUGGGGAAUAUUGGACAAUGGGCGCAAGCCUGAUCCAGCAAUGCCGCGUGAGUGAUGAAGGCGCUAGGGUUGUAAAGCUCUUUUACCCGGGAAGAUAAUGACUGUACCGGGAGAAGAAGCCCCGGCUAACUCCGU